rnacentral:rRNA from 1 species
ACGGGAGGCAGCAGUGGGGAAUAUUGCACAAUGGGGGAAACCCUGAUGCAGCGACGCCGCGUGAGUGAAGAAGUAUUUCGGUAUGUAAAGCUCUAUCAGCAGGGAAGAUAAUGACGGUACCUGACUAAGAAGCCCCGGCUAACUACGUGCCAGCAGCCGCGGUAAUACGUGGGGGGCAAGCGUUAUCCGGAUUUACUGGGUGUAAAGGGAGCGCAGACGGCCAUGCAAGUCUGAAGUGAAAUCCACGGGCUCAACCCGUGAACUGCUUUGGAAACUGUAAGGCUAGAGUGCAGGAGAGGUAAGUGGAAUUCCUAGUGUAGCGGUGAAAUGCGUAGAUAUUAGGAGGAACACCAGUGGCGAAGGCGGCUUACUGGACUGUAACUGACGUUGAGGCUCGAAAGCGUGGGGAGCAAACAGGAUUAGAUACCCUGGUA